ensembl:miRNA
UAUGGCUUUUUAUUCCUACGUGAUGGUAGAUGGGUUCAUGUAGGAGUAGAAGCCACUAAA